rnacentral:rRNA from 1 species
AUUGAACGCUGGCGGCAGGCCUAACACAUGCAAGUCGAACGAGUGGCGGACGGGUGAGUAAUGUCUGGGAAACUGCCCGAUGGAGGGGGAUAAAUAAUGUAAACGGUAGCUAAUACCGCAUACCAUCGGAUGUGCCCAGAGGGGAUGAGCUAGUAGGUGGGGUAACGGCUCACCUAGGAGACGAUCCCUAGCUGGUCUGAGAGGCGGAGCAGCCACCCUGGAACGGAGACACGGUCCAGACUCCUACGCGAGGCAGCAGUAGGGAAUCUUGCACAAUGGGCGCAAGCCUGAUGCAGCCAUGCCGCGUGUAUGAAGAAGGCCUUCGGGUUGUAAAGUACUUUCAUCUAGGAGGCGUUACUCGCAGAAGAAGCACCGGCUAACUCCGUGCCAGCAGCCGCGGUAAUUC